rnacentral:rRNA from 1 species
UACGGGGGGAGCAAGCGUUGUUCGGAUUUACUGGGCGUAAAGGGCGCGUAGGCGGCCAGCACAAGUCAGUUGUGAAAUCUCCGGGCUUAACUCGGAAAGGUCAACUGAUACUGUGCGGCUAGAGUGCAGAAGGGGCAACUGGAAUUCUCGGUGUAGCGGUGAAAUGCGUAGAUAUCGAGAGGAACACCUGCGGCGAAGGCGGGUUGCUGGGCUGACACUGACGCUGAGUGCGCGAAAGCCAGGGGAGCGAACGGG